GCAUCUUUCAUACUUGAAUAUGCAACUUUAUUUAUGCAAAUACUGCCUGAUUCAUCUUUGAAGAAGACACUUCUUUUCAAGCAUGGAGAGGAACAGAGCUCACCACAUGUUCCAGGGUUGAAAAGAGGCAGAAAUGUCCUGAAAGGAUGGAACUGUGAACAUGUAUCAGCAAUUGUGUUCAGAGCUCGUACUUCUUAUUGCAUUUUACACCCAUCUUUACAACUGAAAAACAACUGUGAUGGGAACUAUCACAAGUUUCCUGUCCUGUUUCAUUGCCCAACUGUCCGCAGUCUGUUGUAUCCUAUGGACUUUGAUUCAGAACCAUAGGAUCCCAUGGAAAGAAAUUGUUUUAACCUGGAACACUGUCUCUUGUAUCCUAUGGGGUUUGUUGUAGAAUCUUGUUUUUGUAUAUUGUUGUUUUUCCUGAUUAAAAAAAAAAAAAGGAAUACUGACCUUGUGAUGAAUGUAAGAUCUUAAGUUUCCACAUGUGAGUCUGAUGGGGAGGCUGAACUCCAAAUGGG
rnacentral:lncRNA from 11 species